GCAGGUGUAAUUUAAUGGUAAAAUGGCUGCUUCCCAAGCAGCAUUCGAGGGUUCGAUUCCCUUCACCUGCUCCA
rnacentral:tRNA from 1 species